GGAGCAUCGGCUGUCGGAGGAGGAUUAAUUGGACGCUGCAGGUUAUUGGCUGAAUGAAGCUGCAGCCGAGACGAAGCUGCAGAAGAAGAAGAGCAGCAAGCAGAAAGCUGCAUCCUCCUCUAACAUCCCAUCAUACGGCACGUCGCCACGGAAACACUGCAUCCGCGCUGUCACAGGGAAUAAAAGCAGCAGGAAGAGAAAGAGGAGGAGGUCUGCAGGACCGGAGGACCGGAGGAUUGGAGGGAGGCUGCUGGAGGUCUGAGCCCAGCAGAGCUUCACCUACUGGGGGGCGAGCAGCAGCUGGACCCUGCAGGGAAACAUCUGGAAGCUUCAAACAUCUGGAAAAGAGUCCAGCAGCGAAACUAAUCCGGAUGGAAACUGCAGCAGGAGGAUUUCUGAGGAUUUAUUCAGAGAACAAACGUUAAAAACCUUCACCUGUUUGGAUUAUCAGACCUGGAGGAGCAGAAACGGAGCAUAAAGACUCUUUGGAUGCAGGUUCAGGGACGUUUCUUUGAGGAUUUAGUGGUUUUUCAGUUUUUGUUUCUUUUCUGGGAUCCUGGACCUGAAAUUUCAUCCAAAUCUCAACCUUAACCUUCGUUUCUGGUCUAAAUCAGCAGAAAACAGCUGCAGAGAAGCUUCAAAAACCAACAGGAAGGCUAAAUUUACAGAAAUAUCACAGAAAAGUCACAUUUCUUUGGCAGUUUAAGCUGCACAUCACCUUAUUUUUGAUAUUUUAUCCAUCAUUAUAAGAGAAUUUAUCAAUUUUAUUCAAAAAACAAGAGAGAAAAGAACAAUUUGGUCAUUAAUUUUUCAUCGCUUAUACUCAGAAGUCUCUUAUUUUCAAUAUUUUAGCUGCAUCAUUUUUAAUUUACACUUUGGAUUAAUAAACUUUUAUUCGUCACUUUAAGAGAAAUUCACAAAAUUGUUACAAACCAAAAGUUUAAAACUACAUUGAGUUCAAAAUAUCACAUAUUUAGGGCUGAAAAAUUACAUUUCCUAUUUUCUUCAGCUGUUUAAUCUUCACAUCAGCUUAUUUUUAAAAAAGUAUUUAGCAUAUUUUAUCCAUUAUUCUGAGAGAAUUUAUCAAAUUUAUUUUACAAACAAAAGAGAAAAGAACAAUUUGGUCAUAAAUCUUACAUCAGUUUGACUCCAAUAUCACUUAUACUGAUCAUUUUUGUUGCUGUUUUUAAAUCUUACACUCAUUUCUCUCAGAGAAAAUAUGAAAUUUACUGAAAACCAAAAGAGAAAAACUACAUUUUGUCCACAAUUCUGAG
ensembl:lncRNA